rnacentral:lncRNA from 1 species
CGCAAGGUGCUUGUGCUGGUUUAGUAUUUCUGUUAAAUGCUUGAUACUGGCUUAUGAUUUAAGUCUGUUAUUUCUGGUACAGUUGUAACUUGUUUGUUAUUUUUUGCUAACAAAUUAUCUAGAACACCUGAACUGCUAUAAGUAGCCUGGGUGCUACUCUUCAUUCUGAAUGCUUAUAAUGUUGAAUAAGAAAUAGAGUGUUACACUCAAAAUCUCUCUCACUUGUUCUUCUUUUUCCUUCUUUUUAUUCUGUUAUCUGUGAUUUCUUUCUAAUUCAUAAACAUCAUGAUUUCUUCAUCUUUUAUGUUUUGCUUUCAGAAUACAUCAAUGUUAUAGUUUCUUUUAUAAUGUACGCAGCUUUUUGACAUGGUAUCAGAGUUUUGGAAUUGAUGAUAAUCAGCUGUGAUUUACGUCUACCGUGUGUUUGAUUAAAUGUCUCUGUAAGCAGAAUCUCUUGUUCUUCUGCUAUUAUUUUUGUUCUUGAGUGAUCUUUGGCUGCGAUGUCUGUCAAUAAUUCUGAACAAAAUGAAUCGAUGAAUAAUGAAACUGUGAAUCCUGCUUUUGAGGUCAGAUCUGAUGUUAGUAAAUCAUUUACUGCCAUUUUGACCAAGAAAAUAUCUCUGUUGAUUGAUGAAAGCAAUUUUCUGUCAUGGAAACAACAUGUUUACCUAACUUUGAAAACACAUAGGCUACAAAGUUAUGUAGAGGGAACUAUAGCUAUUCCUCCUAGGGUGAUUAACAUUGAUUCGGGAGUACAAAUAGAAAAUCCUACUUUUGUUUCGUAUGAGCAACAAGAUUCUACUCUUGCGUCAUGGUUGAUGUCCUCAGUCAGUCAUUCUCUGCAUACACAUCUGGUUGGCUUGCACUCUGCUUUUGAAAUAUGGAAUAAGCUGAAUCAGAUAUUUGCUCUUCACUCACGAACUAAGAGAAUGCAGUAUAGAUGCAUGUUGCAUAAUGUUAAGAAGCAAGAUAAGACAAUGAGAGAAUGUUUAGCAGAAAUUAAGCAUAUCUGUGAUGUGUUGUCUGGAUGUGGUCAAAAUAUUCAUGAGGAGGAACAACAAUUUACUAUUCUUAACGGUUUACCUAUCGAAUAUAAGAACAUUGUUUCAAUUAUUACUUCUAGUCAGCAUCCUUAUGAUCUUCAAGGAGUUGUUUCAGCUUUGUUGGAUGCAGAGGCGAGGAUAAAACUUCAGGGAAAUGUCAUUAGUAUAACUGCUAAUGUAGCUGUGCAGCAGCAACUCCCGGCAAAUAGCAGUGAUAGUACUAAGUCGAAUGAUCAGACUCUUAAUUCUAGCUCUGAAGGUAUGAAUGUUCAGACCAGAUCAUAUUAUCAGGGUAAUGGCAGGUUUAGACCACGUGGUAGAGGAGGAAGGUACUCAAAUAAUUCGAGACCCCAAUGUCAAUUAUGUGGUAAGAUAGGGCAUUUGGUCUCUAAAUGUUUUCAUCGGUUUAAUGCUUCAUUCACUGGUAUUUCUGACUCUACUGCUACUAAUUCUCAGUCAUCAAACUAUGUUAAGCCUUCUGAAGGUGUGAAUGGUUUUUAUUGCUAUCCUGGUCCCACUACUGGUUUUACUAUGUUUAGUCCUCAAGUUGGACAUCCUGGUUUUACUGGGUUGAAUACUCAAGGUAAUCUUGCUGGUUCUGGAGGACUUAAUGUGUCUGCACAUAUACCUUCUACUGGAAUGCCUCCUACUCAUGCUGGUACUUCACAUUUUGCUGCAUAUAACUGCAGUAUGCCGAUAGUCAGCAAUAUCAGUCCUGCAAACCCUUAUGUUAUGUCCUGUAACAAUGGUAAUCCUUUUGUUAGUGGUGCUGGCUCUUUUUGUUCAGGUUCUACUCAAGCUAGUUCAGAAGGUAAUCGAAUCUCUCAGUGUUUGCAAGCUACACCAGCAGUGGUUGUAGAUCCGGCUUGGUACCCAGAUACUGGUGCAACUGGGCAUCUCACACAUGAUUCCACAUGCUUACAGCACUCUAAUCCUGCUACAAGUAUAGUUCAAGUCGGUAAUGGUUCUUGUGCAACUUUUUCCACUGAUAAAAAAGAACUGCACUUAAACAAAUUGUUUUAUGCUCCUGAUAUUACCAAAAAUUUAAUUUCAGUAUCCCAAUUCACCAAAGACAAUAAUGUAUCAUUUGAAUUUUUUCCCAAAUAUUGUGUUGUUAAAGAUCUCACUACGCAGGCUGUUCUGGCACAAGGAGUUGAAGUUGAUGGUCUCUACAAAUUGGAUGUGAAUCAGAAAUUUAGUGCUCUUUCGUAUCUCUCGUCUGAUCUUUCAUGCUUUACCACUAGUGUUAGUUCAAAUAAUAAUGAUUGUGUGAAAUGUAAAAGUUUAACUUCUCAUGAGUUGUGGCAUCGUAGGUUAGGACACACUUCGACACACAAUCUUGCACAUCUAGCUUCCACAUCUGCUAUUCCUGUUAAAGUUCUCAAGAAUUUUCCUCUAUGUGUUGCUUGUCAAUUUGGAAAAAGUCAUAAACUACCAUUUACAUCAUCAACCACUGAGUAUACUUCUCCUUUACAACUUAUUCAUUGUGAUGUUUGGGGACCAGCUCCAUGUGUGUCUUCUGGGUAUAAAUACUAUAUUUCAUUCAUCGAUGCAUAUUCAAGACAUGUUUGGAUUUUUCUUUUGAAACAGAAGUCUGAGGCUCUGUCUGCAUUUCUUGUGUUCAAAAAGCAAGUUGAAACAAUGUUUGAUAAAAAGAUUAAGGCGUUGCAAACUGAUAGUGGUGGAGAGUUUAGAUCAUUUGUACAGUACUUGCAAUCAUUUGGCAUACAACAUAGAUUAACCUGUCCUCAUACUUCUGAACAGAAUGGUUUAAUUGAACGAAGACAUAGACAAAUUGUAGAAAUAGGUCUUACUUUACUUGCACAAAGUUCCAUGCCUUUAAAAUACUGGUCUGAUGCUUUUACUUACGCUAUUAAUAUAAUAAACAUCUUACCUUCCAAGGCUAUAAAUAAUAAAACUCCUUUUGAAAAAUUGUAUCAAGUUAAGCCUGAUUACUCUCUUAUUCGAGUGUUUGGAUGUCAUUGUUUUCCCUUGUUGACACAUUAUAAUCACAAUAAACUGCAGUUUCGGUCUAUAUCUUGCAUUUUUUUGGGCACGGUUGCUAACCAUAAGGGUUAUAAGUGUCUUGCACCUAAUGGUCGAGUGUAUAUAUCUCGACAUGUUAAGUUUCAGAAAGAUAUUUUUCCUUUUUCACUAAAGGCUGACAUGCACAUUUCUUCACCUUCUUCACACACUCCAUUUACUACAGUUCAUUUACCUAUUGUUUCGCCACCUGAUCUAACUACUAAUGCUAAUUUUUGUUCUUCAUUGCAGCAGUCUAAAUCGCCAUCACUAAUAUCUACUCCUCCUCCAUCUCAUUCUCCAAAUUCUGGUUUUACUCCGUUCAACUCUCAAAAUAAUGAUUCUAACAUAAACUGCACUUCCUCAUCUCAGGAUCACUCACCUAAUUUUUCAUACGAUGGGCACCAAUCUCAAAGUUUGCCAAAUUCUGCAUCUGCACCUACGUUUGAAAUGCAGUCUCAAGAUAUACCAAACCCGUCUCAACUUAAUAGUCACCCCAUGAUCACAAGGGGCAAGUUAGGUAUUGUAAAAUCAAAAAUUAUCACUUAUCAAGUUACUAAUAUACCUUUUUCUCCUGCAGAUAUUCAUGAAGCUAUGCAGUUUCCUCAAUGGUAACAAGCCGUUCAUGAUGAACUUGAUGCUUUGGUGAGAAAUCAAACUUGGGACUUAGUUCCCUUACCAUCAAAUCGACAUGCUGUGGGAUGCAAGUGGUUGUUCAAGGUAAAGAAACGAGCUGAUGGUACUGUGGAUUGCUUCAAAGCUCGGUUGGUUGCCAAGGGUUAUGCUCAGAAAAUAGGCUUCGACUUCCAUGACACGUUCAGUCCAGUCGCAAAAGCAAAUACUGUUCGCACUCUCCUUUCCUUGGCAGUUACUCAUGGUUGGGAAUUGAGGCAAGUAGAUGUCAACAAUGCAUUCCUCAAUGGAGAUCUUGUUGAGGAAGUGUAUAUGCAACAACCCCUCGGUUUUGAGCAGCGAAAUAUCGAAGGUCAACCUCUUAUUUGCAAACUACGAAAGGCCCUUUAUGGUCUCAAACAAGCGCCGAGAGCUUGGUUUCAAAAGCUCAAAGAUUUUUUGUGUUCCAAUCUGAAUUUUCAAGCUUCAUGUGCCGACCCUUCUUUAUUCACACGUCAAAAUGAAGGAACUAGGGUAUGGUGUCUGGUAUAUGUUGAUGACAUUAUUCUCACUGGUAGCAAUUUAAAGGACCUAAGUGAUGUUAUUCAUCAAUUAAACAAAGCGUUUUCUCUUAAGGAUUUGGGACCUUUGCAUUAUUUUCUUGGAGUAAAAGUGCAUAGACGUAAUGGAACUCUACAUCUAUCGCAGAAAAAAUAUAUUCGUGAGUUAAUCAAUCGUGCUGAGAUGACUUCUGCUGGCUCAGUACCCACUCCAAUGGUCGUGUCUCCUACUCUCACUUCAACUAAUGGUCAAUUGUUACCUACGUCCAAGGCUGUUUUAUAUAGAAGCAUUGUGGGUGGACUUCAAUAUGCAUGUCUUACCCGUCCCGGUAUAGCUUUUGCUGUAAACAAACUCAGUCAGUUCAUGCAUUCUCCAACUGACAAGCACUGGGUGUCAGUAAAACGAGUACUACGAUAUCUUCAAGGAACUAUCGAGUUUGGCCUUUAUUACACUCCAGCGGAUCAGGUUGAUAUUACAGCUUUUUCAGAUUCAGAUUGGGGCAGCUCUCUUGAAGAUAGGAGGUCUACUUCUGGUUUCUGUAUCUACAUAGGUGGCAACCUCAUUGGUUGGUCAUCCAAGAAGCAACAUGUAGUGGCACGCUCCACAUCUGAGGCAGAAUUUCGAAGUGUCGCCAAUACUGUGGCUGACAUCGCUUGGUUCAUCCAUCUUCUGACUGAUCUUGGAGAGAAGUGUUAUGGAAUUCCAACUAUAUGGUGCGAUAAUUCUGGUGCUGUCCAGAUAUCAGCAAAUCCUGUUCUUCAUUCCAAGAUGAAACAUGUUGAACUUGAUCUUCAUUCUGUUCUUCAUUCCAAGAUGAAACAUGUUGAACUUGAUCUUCAUUUUGUCCGGGAAAAAGUAGUAAAGGGUGAUCUUCAAAUCAAUCAUAUUGCUGCACACAAUCAAGUUGCGGAUCUAUUCACUAAACCUUUAAGUGAAUCUCAAUUUGUUGCGCUGCGAUCAAAGCUUGGAUUAUGUCAACUCUGCUCAGUAUCCACGGCUUUUGUUUUCUCGGAAGAGGAGAAAACAGGGGGAAUAUCAGGCAGUAAGAAUGAUAUGUAGGUGUUCGAUAAUAUGUUUGAGAUAAGCACAAUAUAGCUUUCUCGCAAGGUGCUUGUGCUGGUUUAGUAUUUCUGUUAAAUGCUUGAUACUGGCUUAUGAUUUUAGUCCGUUAUUUUUGGUACAGCUGUAACUUGUUUGUUAAUUUUUGCUAACAAAUUAUCUAGAACACCUGAAUUGCUAUAAGUAGCCUAGGUGCUACUCUUCAUUCUGAAUGCUUAUAAUGUUGAAUAAGAAAUAGAGUGUUACACUCAAAAUCUCUCUCACUUGUUCUUCUUUUUCCUUCUUUUUAUUCUGUUAUCUGUGAUUUCUUUCUAAUUCAUAAACAUCAUGAUUUCUUCAUCUUUUAUGUUUUGCUUUCAGAAUACAUCAAUGUUAUAGUUUCUUUUAUAAUUUACGCAGCUUUUCGACAGGAAGAUAUAACAGUACCAAUGCAAAACCCUAGAGUUAGUAAAUGGGAGCCACCAGAAGGUGGUAGUGUUAAAGCAAACUUUGAUGCCUCAUUUCAUCAACAGUCAAAUAAAUCAGUCUCGGUGAUUUUAAUUAGAAACAGGGAGGGCCUAGUUAUGUUAGCGUGUACUUACCUGAAUGAGCAUGUGUUAAAAUCAACCAUGGCAAAAGCGCAAGCAUGUUUGAAACCUGUAAUUUUCACGAAUGAACUAGGGUUUAGGAGGAUUUUGGUAGUAGGGGACACCUUAAAUGUUUUCAAGAGAGUAAGGACGACAGAGGAGGAUAAAUCGAACAUCAGUAAUCUAGUCAAUGAAGUAAAAGAAAUGAUUUGUAGGUUUGAAAAAAUAGAAUUUCGACACGUACCUUAGAAAGCUAAUGAAGCAGUGCACAGUUUGACAGAGGAGGGUAGGCGUUAUGAAACCCCCAAAUAUUGGAUAGAAGAGGCUCCAAAGAGAGUGGAAGAACCAGUAAAUCAAGAUUGACAUGGACUACAAGGAGAGGGAUGAAGAAUGAGGCUACUGAGACCGAAGGAACUAUGACUAUUUGGACUUCGAUGAACUCAGAUUUUCAUGGAGGGAUCGAGCCGUAAACGGAAGCAUAGCUAAGACCAACGGGAGGAAAAAAGGACCGCUUCUGGUGUUUUACUGAUGUAAUUAUCGAACCAGCGAAAUGGAAAGGAAGAUGGUUCAUUUCCCUUCAUUUCUUUACUGUUUUUGGUUUUGUUUCCCUUUGGAAAUCUAUUUUGGUUUUUAGAUGGGGGUUAUCCGCAAUUUUUAAAUUCUGUUACUUUCAAGGCAUUGCCCGUUCGACCAAUAAGAUUGACGCAGAAGAAAAGUUGAUCAGUGGGCAUGGGAAUUGUAACCGAU